rnacentral:tRNA from 1 species
AAUCUAAUAACUUUGUUUUGAAAACAAUAAUAAGAAGAUUCCUUCUAUAGAUUU